UGGCAGCUACCAUGCAGUCGAGCGGAACGACACUUCUAGUACCUUCGGGUGCGUUUAACGGCGUCGAGCGGCGGACGGGUGAGUAAUGCCUAGGAAAUUGCCUUGAUGUGGGGGAUAACCAUUGGAAACGAUGGCUAAUACCGCAUAAUGCCUUCGGGCCAAAGAGGGGGACCUUCGGGCCUCUCGCGUCAAGAUAUGCCUAGGUGGGAUUAGCUAGUUGGUGAGGUAAUGGCUCACCAAGGCGACGAUCCCUAGCUGGUCUGAGAGGAUGAUCAGCCACACUGGAACUGAGACACGGUCCAGACUCCUACGGGAGGCAGCAGUGGGGAAUAUUGCACAAUGGGCGCAAGCCUGAUGCAGCCAUGCCGCGUGUAUGAAGAAGGCCUUCGGGUUGUAAAGUACUUUCAGUCGUGAGGAAGGUUCAUGCGUUAAUAGCGUAUGGAUUUGACGUUAGCGACAGAAGAAGCACCGGCUAACUCCGUGCCAGCAGCCUGCGGGAAUACGGAGGGUCGCAAGAGUAAAACUCAAAUGAAUUGACGGGGGCCCGCACAAGCGCAUGCAGCACAUGGUUUGUUAAGUCAGAUGCGAAAGCCCGAAGCUCAACCUCGGAACUACAUCUUGAAACUGGCAAACUAGAGAACUGUAGCAGAGAGGUAGAAUUUCAGGUGCCUAGCGGUGAAAUGCGUAGAGAUCUGAAGGAAUACUGCAGUGGCUGAAGUCAGCCCCCGUUGUGACAGAUACUGACACUAAGAUCCCGAAAGCGAGCGAGCAACACGAUUAGAUACCCUGUAUGUCCACGCCAGUAACGAUGUCGGGAACUCCAGGGAGACUUGAGCGUGCUUUCGAGCUAAACGCGGAGGAACCGCCUGGGGACGUACGGUUCAAGUCAUCAUGGCCCUUACGAGUAGGGCUACACACGUGCUACAAUGGCGCAUACAGAGGGCAGCCAACUCGCGAGAGUGAGCGAAUCCCAAAAAGUGCGUCGUAGUCCGGAUUGGAGUCUGCAACUCGACUCCACGAAGUCGGAAUCGCUAGUAAUCGUAGAUCAGAAUGCUACGGUGAAUACGUUUCCGGGCCUUGUACACACCGCCCGUCACACCACGGGAGUGGGCUGCAAAAGAAGUGGGUAGUUAUCCUUCGGGGAGGACGCUCACCACCUUUUGUUCG
rnacentral:rRNA from 1 species